CAAGUACUCUCUCCGUUCCAUAAUUCUUGUCGAAAUCUUACAUGUAUCUAGACACUUUUUAAUAAUAGAUACAUCCAUUUGUGGGCAAGUUUGAGACAAGAAUUAUGGAACGGAGGCAGUAUUUA
rfam:Brachypodium distachyon strain Bd21 chromosome 5, whole genome shotgun sequence.